rnacentral:rRNA from 1 species
AUGGUUCUGGUCUGUCUUUUACUGGUUUUCCCUUUUUCAUGGUUUCUUUUAGUGGGUUCCUUUGGGUACCCAACUUCUUCCCCUCUCGGUACCGCACCGCGCGUUUCGGUAGCUCGACGAGUCACUCUCUUGACGUGCUUGCCUUACACGACAAAGGUCUCGCGGAAUGCCAACAUAGCCAAGCUCCAAGCAGGCUAUUUGUUUCCGGAGAUUGCCAGAAGAAGGGCAGCUCUUCUGCUGAAGCAUCCUGACGCCAAAAUUAUAAGUCUGGGAAUAGGUGACACUACUGAGCCCAUUCCGGAGGUCAUAACAAAUGCCAUUGCAGAGAGAGCACGUGCUUUAUCCACAGUGGAUGGCUACAGUGGUUAUGGAGCUGAACAAGGUGAAAAGAAACUGAGGGCAGCAAUUGCUGCAACCUACUAUCAGGAUCUUGGUAUCGACGAAACCGAUAUAUUUGUCUCUGAUGGUGCAAAAUGUGACAUUUCUCGUCUACAGGCAUAUGUUGAUUCAAGUGUUAUCAUGGGGCAAACUGACUUAUAUCAGCAGGAUGUUCAGAAGUGUGGAAAUAUUGAAUACAUGCGAUGCAGUCCUGAAAAUGGAUUUUUCCCUGAUCUUUCCAAGGUCCCUCGGACAGAUAUCAUAUUCUUUUGUUCACCCAACAAUCCUACUGGUGCUGCUGCAUCUAGGGACCAGCUAACACAGUUGGUCAAAUUCGCAAAGGACAAUGGGUCCAUAAUAGUCUAUGAUUCUGCUUAUGCCAUGUACAUAUCAGAUGACAGCCCAAAAUCCAUCCUUGAAAUUCCUGGGGCAAAGGAGGUUGCCCUCGAGACAGCAUCUUUCUCUAAAUAUGCUGGGUUCACUGGUGUCCGACUGGGUUGGACUGUGGUCCCUAAGGAGCUCCUUUUCUCCGAUGGGCAUCCAGUCGCUAAAGAUUUCAACCGCAUAGUCUGCACUUCCUUCAAUGGCGCAUCGACCAUCUCUCAGGCCGGUGGUUUAGGCUGCCUCUCUCCAGAGGGUCUAAAGGCUAUGCAAGACGUUGUCGGAUUCUACAAGGAGAACACAAAAAUCAUUGUCGACACGUUUGAGUCGCUCGGAUUCAACGUCUACGGUGCCAAGAAUGCCCCCUAUGUGUGGGUGCACUUCCCUGGCGGCAAUUCCUGGGAUGUCUUUGCCGAGAUCCUUGAGAAGGCAAACGUGGUCACUACUCCCGGCAGUGGAUUUGGGCCCGGCGGUGAGGGCUUUGUGAGGGUCAGUGCAUUUGGCCACAGAGAGAACAUUAUCGAAGCUGCGAGAAGACUGAAGCAGCUAUACAAAUGA